UAGGGAAUCUUCCGCAAUGGGCGAAAGCCUGACGGAGCAACGCCGCGUGAGUGAUGAAGGUCUUCGGAUCGUAAAACUCUGUUAUUAGGGAAGAACAAAUGUGUAAGUAACUAUGCACGUCUUGACGGUACCUAAUCAGAAAGCCACGGCUAACUACGUGCCAGCAGCCGCGGUAAUCCGUAGGUGGCAAGCGUUAUCCGGAAUUAUUGGGCGUAAAGCGCGCGUAGGCGGUUUUUUAAGUCUGAUGUGAAAGCCCACGGCUCAACCGUGGAGGGUCAGUGGAAACUGGAAAACUUGAGUGCAGAAGAGGAAAGUGGAAUUCCAUGUGUAGCGAUGAAAUGCGCAGAGAUAUGGAGGAACACCAGUGGCGAAGGCGACUUUCUGGUCUGUAACUGACGCUGAUGUGCGAAAGCGUGGGGAUCAAACAGG
rnacentral:rRNA from 1 species